CUCAUACAGUUGGCCCAUGGUAGCACUGGUGGGAGGGAUGGUGUUGUUGACAAAGAAGAAUAAGGCGUCCUCAGGUCUCAGGUGGAUUCUCUUCCGGAUUAAGAAGUAGAACUGGCCAACAGUAAGGUCAGAGGGCACUAGGUACUUCCUCUUGUCCAGAUCAGGCACCCUGGCUUUUGGAGCCUUCUCUACAAUCACCUGGAAGAAGAGGAGGAGAGUAGGAAUGAAAACUACAGAAGGCAAUCUAGUAUUUUUCCUUCUACACCCUAGAGUUGCCUAGUUACUACUGGAAAUGAAUCUGUCUAGGCCCAGGACACCUGUUUCAUUUCUUAUCCCCCCACCCC
rnacentral:lncRNA from 1 species